AUUGAACGCUGGCGGCAUGCCUUACACAUGCAAGUCGAACGGCAGCACGGGUGCUUGCACCUGGUGGCGAGUGGCGAACGGGUGAGUAAUACAUCGGAACAUGUCCUGUAGUGGGGGAUAGCCCGGCGAAAGCCGGAUUAAUACCGCAUACGAUCUACGGAUGAAAGCGGGGGACCUUCGGGCCUCGCGCUAUAGGGUUGGCCGAUGGCUGAUUAGCUAGUUGGUGGGGUAAAGGCCUACCAAGGCGACGAUCAGUAGCUGGUCUGAGAGGACGACCAGCCACACUGGGACUGAGACACGGCCCAGACUCCUACGGGAGGCAGCAGUGGGGAAUUUUGGACAAUGGGCGAAAGCCUGAUCCAGCAAUGCCGCGUGUGUGAAGAAGGCCUUCGGGUUGUAAAGCACUUUUGUCCGGAAAGAAAUCCUUGGCUCUAAUACAGUCGGGGGAUGACGGUACCGGAAGAAUAAGCACCGGCUAACUACGUGCCAGCAGCCGCGGUAAUACGUAGGGUGCGAGCGUUAAUCGGAAUUACUGGGCGUAAAGCGUGCGCAGGCGGUUUGCUAAGACCGAUGUGAAAUCCCCGGGCUCAACCUGGGAACUGCAUUGGUGACUGGCAGGCUAGAGUAUGGCAGAGGGGGGUAGAAUUCCACGUGUAGCAGUGAAAUGCGUAGAGAUGUGGAGGAAUACCGAUGGCGAAGGCAGCCCCCUGGGCCAAUACUGACGCUCAUGCACGAAAGCGUGGGGAGCAAACAGGAUUAGAUACCCUGGUAGUCCACGCCCUAAACGAUGUCAACUAGUUGUUGGGGAUUCAUUUCCUUAGUAACGUAGCUAACGCGUGAAGUUGACCGCCUGGGGAGUACGGUCGCAAGAUUAAAACUCAAAGGAAUUGACGGGGACCCGCACAAGCGGUGGAUGAUGUGGAUUAAUUCGAUGCAACGCGAAAAACCUUACCUACCCUUGACAUGGUCGGAAUCCCGCUGAGAGGUGGGAGUGCUCGAAAGAGAACCGGCGCACAGGUGCUGCAUGGCUGUCGUCAGCUCGUGUCGUGAGAUGUUGGGUUAAGUCCCGCAACGAGCGCAACCCUUGUCCUUAGUUGCUACGCAAGAGCACUCUAAGGAGACUGCCGGUGACAAACCGGAGGAAGGUGGGGAUGACGUCAAGUCCUCAUGGCCCUUAUGGGUAGGGCUUCACACGUCAUACAAUGGUCGGAACAGAGGGUUGCCAACCCGCGAGGGGGAGCUAAUCCCAGAAAACCGAUCGUAGUCCGGAUUGCACUCUGCAACUCGAGUGCAUGAAGCUGGAAUCGCUAGUAAUCGCGGAUCAGCAUGCCGCGGUGAAAACGUUCCCGGGUCU
rnacentral:rRNA from 1 species